AUGUCAAGGGAGGAGUAUGAUAUCUAGAUUGCAUGUUAGCCUAUAUUUUCUGCAGAAUCUAGAAUUCUUAAAAUCAAAUCUGGAAUGAAUUUAGGAGUUAAUAGGGUGGAAGAAAUCUGGGAGGAGUGUUGAGAUUCUAUGGAAACAUAUAUUUUUCACAGAAUCCUUGAGAGAAAGACAGAGAAGUUGUGAGGGAUCAGUUCUCAUCCAAAAUUCAUUUCGGGUUAAAGAUAGUAGUCGAUGAUUAUGAGAAGAGUAAAUAAGCUCGAGAUGGAAGGAGGGUGAGAUUAUCUCAAAGAAAUCGAAUAGCGGACGAUGCUGAGAUUUAGAGAUGAAGAAACUGGAGCUUGAUUCUGUGAUGUGCAAGAUACAUACAAAGAAGAGGAAACGUUCAAUGAAAACUUUUAUUCUCGAACUGUAGAAGACGAUAAGAAGUCAGAAGAUUAUUUAUAAAGAUAAAUUGAACAUUAAAUACAGUCCAAAGUAUGGUCCUUUAUACCGAAUGGCAAGCGUGAUAAAAGUUGGUUCCGAGAACUAUGACACUCGUGGGAACAAUUUGCUGUCAAUAACAAUGUCUCUUAUUGUUUCUUCUUAGGAUCUCUUUAUUCUUUAUGAUGUCCCAUUAAAAUAGAAAGAAGAAGUAUCAUAAUAGAAUAAUAUUACUCCUACGAUAUACAUUAUAAAAGCACUAUUUUAACACUAUGAUUAAACGUCGCGAAUUUUUAUUGUCUUCAUUUAAUCAUUCGAGAAUUCUCUAUUAAGCGAUGAAAAUAUUGUUUGUAAUUAAUUAGUGUAGAAAUAAAAAGCGUUAAAUAAUUACUU